rnacentral:rRNA from 1 species
CAACUUUCAGCAACGGAUCUCUUGGCUCUCGCAUCGAUGAAGAACGCAGCGAAAUGCGAUAAGUAAUGUGAAUUGCAGAAUUCAGUGAAUCAUCGAAUCUUUGAACGCACCUUGCGCCCCUUGGUAUUCCGAGGGGCAUGCCUGUUUGAGUGUCAU